rnacentral:lncRNA from 1 species
GGAAGGAGAGAACCAACCCCUAUAAAUUAUCCUCAUACCCAAUACACUACACUAAAUAAAUGAGCUUAUUUAAGAUAAUACCAUAACUUAGUUUUAGGCAAAAGUUUUCUGUGGACAACUGUUAUGAUGUAACCUUUGUGAAACAGUUCUUUUAAAUUAGAAAUUGUAGCAGGCAGUGGUAGUGUGUGCCUUUAAUCCCUCACUUGGGAGCCAGAGACGGGCACAUCUAUGUGAGUUCAAAGCCAGCCUAGUCUACAGACUGAGUUAUAGGACAGUAAAGAAAAAAGGUUUGGAUAGUACAAAGAAAAACCCUGUUUAUAGAUAGAUAGAUAGAUAGAUAGAUAGAUAGAUAGAUAGAUAGAUAGAUAGAUAGAUAGAAAGAAAGAAGAAAGAAAGAAAGAAAGAAAGAAAGAAAGAAAGAAAGAAAGAAAGAAAGAAGAAAGAAAGGUAGGUGUGCUGGUACCCAUUCUUAGCAGAGUCUGCUAGUGCAAGUUAUUCACAGAUGCACAGUUGUAGUUCUCAAACCCUGAUGGGAAUGUUGCCUGACAUCUCCUCAUAGCUUUGAAGCUGAGUUUUCCAUUGAUAUACAUUAUAAACCUCCUAGGGAGGGAAUAUGUAAUAUAGAAAAAUUUACUAUGAAAACCCAAAAUAAUGGCAGUGUAUUGUAUUGUGGUAGAUUAUCAUGCUGAUAAUCCUUAUUUCUUCUUUUUCUAACAAUCUUAGAUUUUCUGUAAAGUUUUGUUUUCAAUAAGUAAACAAUGUUAAGACACCUUGAAAGUCUUUUAAAUGAGUUUUAUGUCUUUUUCCAGUGAAAGGAAUUGUGUCAACUGUCCAGAAAAAAAAAAAGUAUCUUAGUAAGAGUCAUUCUCCCUGACUUCUUAGUAUAACAUUAUGAGACAAAAUCUAGUAUGUAUAUUAGAUGAUAUUUCUCUGUGUAUAUAGUAAAACACAUAAUUUAGCAGACAGUUAUAAAAUACAAUGUAAAAUCAGAACUACUCCAUAGCCCACUAAGACAUGUAAACACAGUUACUCUGUAGACCCACUGUUAAUAGUCAGAGGCUUAUGCUAGCGAUUGUCUGUAGAGUAGGAUUGUGCUGCCAACUACUGACCCACCCACUCCCUUCUCCUGCACCCAGAACAGGGCUGUGGGCUGAGGAGGUUAGCAAUAGGUAUCCAUCACAAGAGCAGGGACUCCUGACAUGACGACCCACAGUCUUAGUGCACAGUAAGCUCAUAGGCUUCUGUUUGAGAAUGCAUGUUGAACAGAUGGCUUAUAAGGCUUUGAGAGAUAUAGUCCCUUUGCUUUUAAAUUUUCUUUAAUCAGUUCAGAUGUUGAAUUAGUCUUGUGACAAAAAUCAGUUGCUUCAUGUAAAUUAAAAUUUUGGCAAAAUUUUAAUUCUGUUGCCAGUUGUUCUUAUCAACUAACAUUCUUAUAAGAAGAACUUGGCGAAAGAUUGCCAGUUGAUUAUAGCAUCUAGUACAGUUGAUACUUGAUUUAAUGAUUUUUAUGAAACUUUAUUAAUAGUCAUUUCUGACAAAAGCAGUUUAGUAGGUCUGGAAAGAUGACUUGGCAGGUGAAGGCAGCAUGGAGUGCUUUGGUAGAGGACCUGACUCUAGUUCCCGCCAUCUAAGGUCCUCCAGGGGACCUGGCACCCUCCUCUGGCCUCCAAAGUAUAUAUGUAUACACACCACACACAUACAUACCAUACACAGACACACUCACAGACAUAGUUAAAAUGUUUACAAUUAAAAGGGAAAAUAAAUAGAGGAAAUUUUUUAAAAUAAAAAUAUUAUUUAGCUGGGCCUGGUGGCGCACACCUUUGAUCCCAGCACUCGGGAGGCAGAGGCAGGCGGAUUUCUAAGUUCAAGGCCAGCCUGGUUUAUAGAGUGAGUUCCAGGACAGCCAGGGCUACACAGAGAAACCCUGUCUCGAAAAACCUAAAAAAAAUAAAUAAAUAAAAAUGUAUUGCAUGAAUUUUAAAAUUUCAUAUAUUUAUAGUAUUUAAAUUGCUUUUUAACUGAUCUUUUUACUUGAGUUAAAUUAUUUUCAAUAAUUCUUUGUUUUCAAACCAGGAGAUCAUAGACAUGGAAUCUAUGUUUUAGCUAGGAUGCCAUUGCUUUUGGUUGAGGUUUACAGUGAUGUUGGACCCUUUAGUUCUUCUACUAAAGAGUUAACACCUCAUUGGAGAAGACAGGAAGUCUAAUUUACAGUAGUAGUAAUUGUUCCUAGCCAGCAGAGAAAGUCUAAAGAGCAUGUGCUGCAGAAGAUGAAGCAGCAGAGUCCCAGCCAGCUCUGGCCUGUGGUGGCUCCAGUGGUUCCACUCAGCCUAGUGACAUACCCUUUGUAAGCAAUUACUUUGGGGCCUACAUACCAGUUAGGUUCCUCUGCC